UACGUAGGGGGCUAGCGUUGUCCGGAAUCAUUGGGCGUAAAGCGCGUGUAGGCGGUCCGGUAAGUCCGCUGUGAAAGUCGAGGGCUCAACCCUCGAAUGCCGGUGGAUACUGUCGGGCUAGAGUACGGAAGAGGCGAGUGGAAUUCCUGGUGUAGCGGUGAAAUGCGCAGAUAUCAGGAGGAACACCAAUUGCGAAGGCAGCUCGCUGGGACGUCACUGACGCUGAGACGCGAAAGCGUGGGGAGCGAACAGG
rnacentral:rRNA from 1 species